rnacentral:rRNA from 1 species
AACGAACGCUGGCGGCAGGCCUAACACAUGCAAGUCGAGCGCCCCGCAAGGGGAGCGGCGGACGGGUGAGUAACGCGUGGGAACGUGCCCUUUGCUACGGAAUAGCCCCGGGAAACUGGGAGUAAUACCGUAUAAGCCCUACGGGGGAAAGAUUUAUCGGCAAAGGAUCGGCCCGCGUUGGAUUAGGUAGUCGGUGGGGUAAUGGCCUACCAAGCCGACGAUCCAUAGCUGGUUUGAGAGGAUGAUCAGCCACACUGGGACUGAGAAACGGCCCAGACUCCGACGGGAGGCAGCAGUGGGGAAUCUUAGACAAUGGGCGCAAGCCUGAUCUAGCCAUGCCGCGUGAGCGAUGAAGGCCUUAGGGUUGUAAAGCUCUUUCGUGGGGGAAGAUAAUGACUGUACCCCAAGAAGAAGCCCCGGCUAACUCCGUGCAGCAGCCGCAGUAAAAC